rnacentral:misc_RNA from 1 species
GUCUAAGGUAAUGGUUUAUUGAUAAAAGAUUUGAAAUACAUUCCUUGGCUAUAGAGACACCCAAUAAAAGUCGUCAUACAAAGUAGAAAAAAAUUGAGCCAUGGACUAGCCUUCAAAAUAAAAGGUAUAAGCCCAAACAUUGAAAAGCGUAGCUAGACAAAGGACAGCAAACAGGGGAAAACCACAACACCUAAGGCCACACCUCUCAUCACAGGCUGGACAAGUAUUAAAAAAGCUCCCACAGCCACUCCUCUCGUUACUGUCUGGACAACCAUUAACAAAGCUCUCGGACAUGUGAAACAAUUGAAGAAAACCAGAAGCUUCUAAAACUAAGAGCCAUAUUCUUAAGUCACCAGACAGCAAAGGGUCUCAAUAGCAUACAUAAAAGCACAUCAACGAUCUUAGCGAGUGGCAGAAGGAACGAAGGUCAGAACCCAAUCGGCUAUCCGUGUCUUAUAGAGUCGCGGACCUUAACAAAUGGUUGGCUUUUUGACCCCAGGGAUACCAUUCCUCACGGCAAAUUUGCAUCCUUCCACUGAGCUAACUACAAGAAGCUUGCGCAUAAGCCAUUACGCAGGAGUUCCACCAAGAACGACGGCAACACAUUUAGAUUAAGAAAAAGAAAAACCCUCCCCGUAAACCUGGAUCUA